rnacentral:rRNA from 1 species
UACGUAGGGUGCGAGCGUUGUCCGGAUUUAUUGGGCGUAAAGAGCGUGUAGGCGGCCAUGCAGGUCAGCUGUGAAGACUCGAUGGCUCAACCUCGAGAUGUCGGUUGAAACCGUGUGGCUAGAGUCCGGAAGAGGAGAGUGGAAUUCCCGGUGUAGCGGUGAAAUGCGAAGAUAUCGGGAAGAACACCCGUGGCGAAGGCGGCUCUCUGGGACGGUACUGACGCUGAGACGCGAAAGCGUGGGGAGCGAACAGG